rnacentral:antisense_RNA from 1 species
GGACUCGCUGUAUCCGAGCCCCGAGAUGACGAUGUGACCUUAGAAGAUGGCAGAGCCACACAAUGGAAGGCGUUUGGGUCCUUGAAUCACUGUAUCAACAGAGCCACCCACAGAAUAUGAACAUCCUCCCUGGACUGUCACAAUGAGUGAGGAAAAAACUUUACUGUGUUUGAGCCUUCAUAUAUUUGGGGCCUAUUCACUACUGCAGCUAGUGUUACCUUGAGUCAUUGGUGCCUUGAAUUACGGAACUGCCGUAACAAAAUUCUAAAAUAUGUUAGCAGCUGGGCAAGAGGGAACACGGAACUGUUGGAGCUGGAAAAUGGAUAUCUAUGUUAUGUAGUGACAAAACAUUGGGUAAAUCUGUUGCAUGUCAUUAUGGACUGAAUGUUUGUGGCCUCCCCUAAAUUCAUAUGUUGAAUCCUAACCCUCAAAGUAGUAGUGUCAGGAGGUGGGGCCUUUGGGAAGUGACUAGGUUGUGAGGGUGGAGCCCUCAUGGAUGGGGUUAAUGCCAUUAUAAAAGAGCCCCAGAGAGCUGCCUUGCCCUCUUUCUGUCAUGUGAGGACUGAGUGAGAAGGAUCCAUCUAUAAAUCAGAAACAGGGCCCUCCACAGACAUAGGUUCUGCCUGUGUCAUCUUCUUGGACUUCCUGGUAUCUAGAACUGUGAGAAAUAAA